UACGUAGGGGGCUAGCGUUGUCCGGAAUCAUUGGGCGUAAAGCGCGUGUAGGCGGUCCGGUAAGUCCGCUGUGAAAGUCGAGGGCUCAACCCUCGAAUGCCGGUGGAUACUGUCGGGCUUGAGUACGGGAGGGGCGAGUGGAAUUCCUGGUGUAGCGGUGAAAUGCGCAGAUAUCAGGAGGAACACCAAUGGCGAAGGCAGCUCGCUGGGACGUGACUGACGCUGAGACGCGAAAGCGUGGGGAGCAAACAGG
rnacentral:rRNA from 1 species